AACGAACGCUGGCGGCGCGUCUUCAGCAUGCAAGUCGAACGGCAAGAGAGGAGCUUGCUUCUCUCCUAGAGUGGCGGACUGGUGAGGAACACGUGGGUAAUCUACCCUUAAGAUGGGGAUAGCUGCUAGAAAUAGCAGGUAAUACCGAAUACACUCGGCAUAUCACAAGAGGUGUUGAGGAAAGGAAGCUACGGCUUCGCUUGAGGAUGAGCUUGCGUCCCAUUAGCUAGUUGGUGAGGUAAAGGCCCACCAAGGCGACGAUGGGUAUCCGGCCUGAGAGGGUGAACGGACACAUUGGGACUGAGAUACGGCCCAAACUCCUACGGGAGGCAGCAGCUAAGAAUAUUCCGCAAUGGACGGAAGUCUGACGGAGCGACGCCGCGUGGAUGAAGAAGGCUGAAAAGUUGUAAAAUCCUUUUGUUGAUGAAGAAUAAGGGUGAGAGGGAAUGCUCAUCUGAUGACGGUAAUCGACGAAUAAGCCCCGGCUAAUUACGUG
rnacentral:rRNA from 1 species